rnacentral:rRNA from 1 species
UACAGAGGUCCAAGCGUUGUUCGGAUUCACUGGGCGUAAAGGGUGCGUAGGCGGUUGGGUAAGUCUGAUGUGAAAUCUCACAGCUUAACUGUGGAACUGCAUUGGAUACUAUCCAACUCGAGGAAUGGAGGGAGACUGGAAUACUGGUGUAGCAAGUGAAUGCGUAGAUAUCGAAGUGGACACCAGUGGCGAAGGCGAGUCUCUGGACAUUCCUGACGCUGAGGCACGAAGGUCAGGGAGCAAACGGG